UCUAUGACACCGGGUGUGGUCGCGGCCCCCGGGGGCGUGGGUGCCUUUUGGUGCCCUCUCUCCUGGGUGGUAGAGGUAAAACUCUCACGCGCCACAUGUCUGAAUCCUUUAUUUACGAGCACCUUUCGUUCUCCUUCGGUGGGGCAACCUGCCGUUGGAACUAUCAAAACUCUUUUUUGCAUCUAGCAUUACCUGUUCUGAUACAAACAAUCGUUA
rnacentral:misc_RNA from 1 species